UACGGGGGGGGCAAGCGUUGUUCGGAAUUACUGGGCGUAAAGGGCGCGUAGGCGGUUGGAUAAGUCAGCUGUGAAAACCACGGGCUUAACUCGUGGCCUGCAGUUGAGACUGUCUGGCUUGAGUGUGGGAGAGGAGAGUGGAAUUCCUGGUGUAGCGGUGAAAUGCGUAGAUAUCAGGAGGAACACCGGUGGCGAAGGCGGUGGUCUGGGCCGGCACUGACGCUGAGGAGCGAAAGCGUGGGUAGCAAACAGG
rnacentral:rRNA from 1 species